ACACGGACAGGUUUUGCUGUGUGUUUUCUCUUUCCUUCUUUCUUUCUUUCUUUCUUUCUUUCUUUCUUUCUUUCUUUCUUUCUUCCUUCCUUCCUUCCUUCCUUUCUUUCUUUCUUUCUUUCUUUCUUUUUUUUUUAAGUGUGCUUUUUGCAAAAGAACGCUUAGAAAAGUCAAUGCUUUAGGUUUCUGCUGGAUGCAUGCUCUGUUCUUGAAAAAAAAAAAAGAAAAAGAAAAAGUCCCUUGGAAACGGUGGAAAGGAUGCUUUACUAAUGCAUGAAUGCUUAUGGACUCUCGCAUUUUUACCAAUCACAAGAGGAAAUGGAUUUAAACAGCCACGUAAUCUGGUCUGCCUCACCGUGAAUGAGGUGCCCUGCUAAACACCACACAAACAGCCUUUCUCUGACCACAGUGAUGUAGUUGACAACAGCGUACAACAGAGCCACCAGGACAUGAGCGGGAGCCUUCUUGGAAGCCUCAUCAAGAGGUAAUGCCACAACACACUCACCAACUCUGCUGCCACCAACACUUAUCUUUUCCUGGUGUACCCGCAUGAUUUCAUUUCCUUCUCCAGUUUUCCCCAUCCGCCCCCUACUACCUUUUACAUUGGUGGGAGAAUGGGGCGGGGGUUGGAGUGAUCCCCAUUGGCUCCUCUGCUCACCGACACUGACCUUUAACCAGCGGACGCUUCACAGGAUAGGUUGGGUCCCUCUACUGUGACAAUAGGCAGCAGCUUACAGUUUGAAGAGUCAUUAGCUGUAUGGUUGACAAAUACAGACAGGGUAAAAAGUUGCAGGGAAAAAAAAAUGAUACUAUCCAUUCCUUCCCACCUACUCUUCUCUCUUUCCCCACUGCUCAUCUCGGACUUAGAGAAUUUCCAUAAACCUUUCCCCAGCAGAAUGGUUUCUGAGUUUAUAGCUAAAGCCCCAGACCUCAGGUACUAAUGACCUCUUUAUUUACCUGUGGUCACUGUCCUUGGGCACUUCUGUGCAAGCUGCAUUUCUCUCCCUCUUCCCUUGGGAUUUCAAGGAGAGAAUCUUUCAAGUUUUUGGUGUAACAAGAACUUCACAGAGCAUCUGAAAGGUCAUAGGCCAGCCUUCUGACUACCACAUGCCUUAGAGGGCUAGCCAUGACAUGCACGGAAACUAUGCCGGAGUGCUCCUCGGUGCCUUGCAUAUCUGAUCUGGCUUCCACUUGUCCAGGGCCUUAAACAAGUAACUGCAUGUCCACAACCUCAGAGCGGAGGAUAAAUGGCCCACAAAACAGUCCUCUCAUCCUUGAGAUACCUAUUUACAAAACUGGACUGGUCAGUUGCUGAGUAGGGGUAAUUAUAGAAGCUACAAUUCUUACUACAAAUGCUUGAUUAAACGUUGGCAUGGGACACAUUCUCAUUUUAUUAACCAUUUCUCUCUUAAGAGGAACUCUUUGUAGAAAUCACUAUUAGGUCCGAGCCCACAGCCACCAUUUUCCUGGAGUGAGGCCGUGAGCCCCUCUCUACAUCAUCACUAGCAGCUAACUUCUAGGCUGAGAAUGCCUUUCUCUGGACACAGAGUGUGUCCAGACUCUUUUCUAGUGUCACUUCUAUAGUGAAACCCUUGUUUCUGCUUUCUCACAAUUGUGCUAAAAAGCCCUUUGACGGGGGACACACUCAGAAACCCCUUGUACAACACGGAAAAAAAACAUUGUUUCACUUUAGAAACAGUUUAUUUGACCUCUCCCCUGAAGCAGAAUUCCCUUGUGUUUUAUUUAGAUACUUAAUAGCCAACUUUAUUAAAGGAACAAGAGCUUUGGUUGGAUAAUUUUUCAGACAAAAAAAAAAAAGUUACCCUGCUCCUGAUCCCUUUCAGCGGUUAAAAAGAAAGCUUUGGUCAAACAUUGGAGAAAUUAGCAACGCUUAUAAUAUGGAUUUUUUGUUUUUGUUUUGAAAAAAGAGAGAAUAGCAAGCUGCAAGCAACCAAUAUAAAAAGGGCGCUUAACAUAACCUAGUUGCAAGUUGGGAGUGGCCACAUGGAACCAUUAAGGGAAUUUUAUCCUUUUUUUCAGGGCUGGGUCAAGGAAAGGGCCUAGGAGCAGCAUGUAGCUGAGCAAAGAUGUUUUAGCAGUGUUCAUCUCCUGGAAUUAAUCCCCAGGCUACACAGCCACUCAGAUACUUACGAUCAAUUAAAAUGAUUGAUUGACUCCCCGAGACUUUCCUUUGUGGUUUUAAAUGCAAAACAUUCAAAAAGUGGGAACAUAGAAGAGGAAAUAUUUGCAAAUUACACAGACCACCCCCUCCCUCGCCCCCAGAGGAUCCCUGAGCCUACUGGGAGAUGUUACUGGGGAAAUGUGUUGUCCUGGGAGGUAGCAAAGUAAGGCUCCAUUAUUCAAGAAUGAAGGAAAAAAAAAAAAAAGCAGUCCCGAAAGCUCGCAGUCAUCAAGUGGGUGACGUGUAUACAU